UACGUAGGUGGCAAGCGUUUGUCCGGAUUUAUUGGGUUUAAAGGGUGCGUAGGCGGUUUUGUAAGUCAGUGGUGAAAUACUCUAGCUUAACUAGAGGGGUGCCAAUGAUACUGCGGAACUUGAGUACAGAUGAGGUAGGCGGAAUUGACGGUGUAGCGGUGAAAUGCAUAGAUAUCGUCAAGAACACCGAUAGCGAAGGCAGCUUACUGGGCUGUAACUGACGCUGAUGCACGAAAGUGUGGGGAUCAAACAGG
rnacentral:rRNA from 1 species